rnacentral:rRNA from 1 species
AGAUUCACUUCGGUGAUGACGUUGGGAACGCGAGCGGCGGAUGGGUGAGUAACACGUGGGGAACCUGCCCCAUAGUCUGGGAUACCACUUGGAAACAGGUGCUAAUACCGGAUAAGAAAGCAGAUCGCAUGAUCAGCUUAUAAAAGGCGGCGUAAGCUGUCGCUAUGGGAUGGCCCCGCGGUGCAUUAGCUAGUUGGUAGGGUAACGGCCUACCAAGGCAAUGAUGCAUAGCCGAGUUGAGAGACUGAUCGGCCACAUUGGGACUGAGACACGGCCCAAACUCCUACGGGAGGCAGCAGUAGGGAAUCUUCCACAAUGGACGAAAGUCUGAUGGAGCAACGCCGCGUGAGUGAAGAAGGUUUUCGGAUCGUAAAGCUCUGUUGUUGGUGAAGAAGGAUAGAGGUAGUAACUGGCCUUUAUUUGACGGUAAUCAACCAGAAAGUCACGGCUAACUACGUGCCAGCAGCCGCGGUAAUACGUAGGUGGCAAGCGUUGUCCGGAUUUAUUGGGCGUAAAGCGAGCGCAGGCGGAAGAAUAAGUCUGAUGUGAAAGCCCUCGGCUUAACCGAGGAACUGCAUCGGAAACUGUUUUUCUUGAGUGCAGAAGAGGAGAGUGGAACUCCAUGUGUAGCGGUGGAAUGCGUAGAUAUAUGGAAGAACACCAGUGGCGAAGGCGGCUCUCUGGUCUGCAACUGACGCUGAGGCUCGAAAGCAUGGGUAGCGAACAGGAUUAGAUACCCUGGUAGUCCAUGCCGUAAACGAUGAGUGCUAAGUGUGGGAGGUUUCC